rnacentral:rRNA from 1 species
GUGCCAGCAGCCGCGGUAAUACGAAGGAUGCAAGCGUUAUCCGGAAUUACUGGGCGUAAAGGGCGUCUAGGCGGUUGAGCAAGUCACCUGUAAAAGUCCACGGCUUAACUGUGGAAUGUCUGGUGAUACUGUUUGACUUGGGUACAGGAGAGGAGGGUGGAACUCACAGUGUAGCGGUGGAAUGCGUAGAUACUGUGAGGUACCCCGAUGGCGAAGGCAACCCUCUGGCCUGUUACCGACGCUGAAGCGCGAAAGCGUGGGGAGCGAAGGGGAUUAGAUACCCCCGUAGUCCACGCCGCAAACGAUGUUCACUGGGUGUCGGUCAUUAAUUAGAUCGGUGCCGGAGCUAACGCAUUAAGUGAACCGCCUGGGGACUACGGCCGCAAGGCUAAAACUCAAGAGAAUUGACGGGGCCCUGCACAAGCGGUGGAGCACGUGGUUUAAUUCGAUGAUAAGCGAAGAACCUUACCUGGGCUUGACAUACUAGCAGUAGGAGCCAGAGAUGGUAACGACCCCCUACUUUUGGUAAGGG